rnacentral:rRNA from 1 species
GGGGGAUAUUGCACAAUGGGGGAAACCCUGAUGCAGCAACGCCGCGUGAAGGAAGAAGGUCUUCGGAUUGUAAACUUUUGUCCUUGGUGAAGAUAAUGACGGUAGCCAAGGAGGAAGCUCCGGCUAACUACGUGCCAGCAGCCGCGGUAAUACGUAGGGAGCGAGCGUUGUCCGGAUUUACUGGGUGUAAAGGGUGCGUAGGCGGAAGAGCAAGUCAGUAGUGAAAUCCAUGGGCUUAACCCGUGAACUGCUAUUGAAACUGUUCUUCUUGAGUGAAGUAGAGGUAGGCGGAAUUCCCGGUGUAGCGGUGAAAUGCGUAGAGAUCGGGA